GUGGGCCACCGCGCCCGGCUCGCCCCGCCCCCCGCAAUUUCUAAACUGUAUCUGUCUCCUCCCAAGCCCUUGUUCCUUCAUCCCCUACCCGGUGCAGAUUCAGACAAGCAUUUUAGUUCCUAAGCCUCGCGGUGCUCUCAGCUCCCGCGCCUCUGAGCUGCCCACACCCCUCCCAAUCCCCUCCUCCGCGCCGCCGUCCUUCUGGCUCUUGGAUGGCCGCAGUGCCCGCUCCCUCUGAACUCGCCGGAGCAGGGAUACAGCCGCCCGGGGCCUCUUGCUCGUGCUUGGUUUUCCGUACCCCACUUCCUAAAGGGUCUUUAGGGGUUCCCGGACUCCUUCGCCUGGGAGCCUCCAUCCGCCCCGCACAGCCCCCGGCAGGGCCGAGGGGCGGCUUCAGUGGCGACCUGGUGGGGCCUAGCGGCCCCGCUCCCGGACGUCAGCGCCGGCGCCGUCAUUGAACAGCUUUUGCUUAGGGCAGAAGAACCUAUGGGCACAAAAAGCAGCAUCGCGUAGCGGUGGUGGAAGAACGAGCAGGAGCUUGAAUUUCAGUUUUCUUAUGAGGAAUUUUCCAGAAAAGAUAUCUUCACUGUGAAAUAAGUAAAUAAAUGCCCACUCAGUACAACAGUGCCGAUGUAAUAAUAACAAAAAGUCUCAGCAUCAUUUAAGAUAAAAGGCCAUCAUCAGACAAUGCAGGACAGAUUGUAACAACAGGACAACAGGAAGUACUACAGAGAUUCAGAGAAUGCCAUAAAUAACCUUGGAAUCCUGUGCUUGGGUAAACCAUUUCCUUUUUUUACUUAGCUGAUCCCUUAAAGCCUGUGAAGUUGAAAUGUUACAGAGGGAAUUAUUUUCUAUUUGAGUUAGCCACCUCAAUUUCAUAACUUUGUAAGAAGAAAAUGGCUUACAUUUUUGCAUCUUCAAGGUUUUCAAAACAUUUGCACAUUUAUUAUCUCAUUUCAUCUUUCUAAUCUGAGAUGAAGGUAGAGCAGGUUAUCCCCAUUUUACUGGUGAGGAAACUGAGGCUCAAAGAGUUCAUGUGAUGUGAAGAAUAUUGGAAUUAAGGAUGCCAGAGAACAGUGACUCAGAGGGACCAAAUCAUUAUGGGGUCCAUUUGGAGGUCUCUAUGUAGAGGGGGAGCUUCCUCAAGGACUUCUGCGGAGACCUCCUUAUUGAAGGAGAGGAGGAAGCUUGAAGACACUUUUCCCCACUCGGACUCAGUACUAAGCACUUUUCCACUCCAAGCCCUUCACCUUCUCCUCAUCCCAGGCCCUGGGUCCAUAAAACUGCAGGAGCCUUUUGUUCAGGCAUUCCCUCAGCCAUGCUGUGCUGAUCCACCUGACCCUGGAUUGGUGCCAUUUUAUCACAGCAUGGGAUUAAAGACUUGACCCUUCCUUUCA